GACGAACGCUGGCGGCGUGCUUAACACAUGCAAGUCGAACGGAAAGGCCCUGUUUUUGUAGCGUGCUCGUGUGGCGAACGCGUGAGAAACACGCGAGUAACCUCCCCUUGACAUUGGGAUAACUUCUGGAAAAUGGAGCUCAUACCGGACAUGAGCUCCUGCAGCAUGGUGUGGGAUGGAAAGAUUCGGCGGUUGGGCAUGGACUCGCGGCUUAUCAGCUUGUUGGUGGGGUAGUGGCUUACCAAGGCUUUGACGGGUAGCCGGCCUGAGAGGGUGACCGGCCACAUUGGGACUGAGAUACGGCCCAGACUCCUACGGGAGGCAGCAGUGGGGAAUAUUGCACAAUGGGCGGAAGCCUGAUGCAGCAACGCCGCGUGCGGGAUGACGGCCUUCGGGUUGUAAACCGCUUGCGCCUGUGACGAAGCGUGAGUGACGGUAAUGGGUAAAGAAGCACCGGCUAACUACGUG
rnacentral:rRNA from 1 species